GACGAACGCCGGCGGCGUGCUUAACACAUGCAAGUCGAACGGUGAAGCGCCUUCCUUUUUGGUGGGUGUGGAUGAGUGGCGAACGGGUGAGUAACACGUGAGUAACCUGCCCCCUUCUUCUGGAUAACCGCAUGAAAGUGUGGCUAAUACGGGAUAUUCUGGGUCUGUCGCAUGAUGGGUCUGGGAAAGAUAUUGUUUCGGUGGGGGAUGGGCUCGCGGCCUAUCAGCUUGUUGGUGGGGUGAUGGCCUACCAAGGCGGUGACGGGUAGCCGGCCUGAGAGGGUGGACGGUCACACUGGGACUGAGACACGGCCCAGACUCCUACGGGAGGCAGCAGUGGGGAAUAUUGCACAAUGGGCGCAAGCCUGAUGCAGCGACGCCGCGUGAGGGAUGGAGGCCUUCGGGUUGUGAACCUCUUUCGCCAGUGAAGCAGGCCUGCCUCGUUUGUGGGUGGGUUGACGGUAGCUGGAUAAGAAGCGCCGGCUAACUACGUG
rnacentral:rRNA from 1 species